ACGGAAGGCAGCAGUGAGGAAUAUUGGUCAAUGGGCGGAAGCCUGAACCAGCCAAGUCGCGUGAAGGAUGAAGGUAUUAUGUAUUGUAAACUUCUUUAGCCAGGGGGCAAUAAGGCGUACGCGUAUGCCGAUGAGAGUACCUGGAGAAUAAGGAUCGGCUAACUCCGUGCCAGCAGCCGCGGUAAUACGGAGGAUCCGAGCGUUAUCCGGAUUUAUUGGGUUUAAAGGGUGCGCAGGCGGCUUUCUAAGUCAGUGGUUAAAGCGUGACGCUCAACGUCAUCACGCCAUUGAUACUGGAGAGCUUGAUUGCGGUCGAGGUUUGCGGAAUUCGUCGUGUAGCGGUGAAAUGCAUAGAUAUGACGAAGAACACCGAUUGCGUAGGCAGCAGACCAGGCCGUAAAUGACGCUCAUGCACGAAAGUGCGGGGAUCGAACAGGAUUAGAUACCCUGGUA
rnacentral:rRNA from 1 species